rnacentral:rRNA from 1 species
GACGAACCGAGCGAACGUUGUUCGGAAUCACUGGGCUUAAAGGGCGCGUAGGCGGGAUGGCAAGUCGGUCGUGAAAUCCUUCGGCUCAACCGGGGAACUGCGUCCGAUACUGGUGGGCUUGAAUCCGGGAGAGGGAUGCGGAAUUCCAGGUGUAGCGGUGAAAUGCGUAGAUAUCUGGAGGAACACCGGUGGCGAAGGCGGCAUCCUGGACCGGCAUUGACGCUGAGGCGCGAAAGCCAGGGGAGCAAACGGG